rnacentral:sRNA from 1 species
ACAUAGCCCCGAUGGGAGCGGCAUCCUUUUUUGCGUUGGACAAGCCUGGGGAAAAAAGAUAUAGUGGACAGCGGGUUAGAAA